rnacentral:rRNA from 1 species
AUUGAACGCUGGCGGCAGGCUUAACACAUGCAAGUCGAACGAGCGGCGGACGGGUUAGUACUGUAUGGGAACCUGCGUGGUGGAGGGGUAUGACUAAUGGAAACGAUAGCUGCUACCGCAUACCAUGCGAUGUGCCCAGAUGGGAUGAGCUAGUGGGUGGGGUAAAGGCUCACCAGGGCGAAGAUCCCUAGCUGGUCUGAGAGGAGGACCAGCCACACUGGAACUGAGACACGGCCCAGACUCCUACGGGAGGCAGCAGUGGGGAAUAUUGGACAAUGGGCGCAAGCCUGAUGCAGCCAUGCCGCGUGUGUGAAGAAGGCCUUCGGGUUGUAAAGCACUUUCAGCGAGGAGGCGUUACCCGCAGAAGAAGCACCGGCUAACUCCGUGCCAGCCGCCGCGGUAAUAC